GGUGACGACCUCUCCCCAACAAUAAGUACGAUGGGGAGCCUCCGGCAUGCAGCUUGAUGAGAAAUAAACACGACAACAAUGAGACUUACAGCGAUGUGCAAAACGCUCCCUGCGUCGACCAUCAUGAUCAAAGCCGCCGACAGAGCUUCACCUGCGUCUGUGAAAGAAGAUACCCGUAUCGAUCAGCGACUCUUCAAUGGCGGGGCGACUCUCAACCAAUCCAUGCGAAUAAAUUGGAUUCCGGUCACCGGUAUUGUUUUCGAUCUUGGACCCUUUGAAGAUGAGUGUUGGGGAGGUUCCGACAAUUGUUGAAGUCAGAUCUAGCGGAAGGCCAUAAUAUUCUCGGACACGGACGGACCCUCCACGAACAACCUGCGGCUAUUUUGACGCUGACCGCUGUCCAGACACACGAUUUGGUGUCGUUGGUUUCACAUACCUGGACUAAGACCUGCGUCCAUCUGACCCGGAGGGUGGCACGUCAAUUUGUCCUUUCCUGAAAUUGAGCACAUCCUAGUGAAAUGUACAUUGAAAUAGACAACGCAUGACCAGUUCAUCUUUGUUAAAAGUGACAAUGUAAUCUGGGUCAUUUAUUCCCCAGCUGAAGAUGAAGUAUACGAUGUGACAUCUCUCUGUGACCAUACAACGAACAGAUAGAUGCAGAUCCCUAAAUUAUCGCUUCAGUCAUUCAAGGGAAUCUCGCCAAAGCUGACAAGCUUUUGAAAUCCACCAUGUCUAUUUCAAACAAGCGGAGCCGAUUUCACAGCGAAGCGAAAUACAAAUGAGGGUAUUACAGCGUUACGUCAUAAUUCUAAGUAUACCUAGUUGUCGUUGUACAGGAACUAGGACUCUGAUAGAAGGGAUUACUGUAAUAACGCCCAUGGUACGAAACCAAAACCAACUUUAUCUAAGAAUUUCCAUGGUACGUCGAAGAUAAAUAGCUCAUGGAGGUAUUAAUUUCGAAAACGAUUAUUUACAGCUGACAGAAGAUGCAAGGUCAGAAAAUUAUGUUAUUAUUGCUGCCAGAGGACCGUAUCCGGCCAUUGUUCAGACACCAGUGAGGCUUAAAUCUAUGCGAUGUUUGUGUUUGUGUUUAAACCAGUAGUGUAUAGGCUCAAUCAAAUAUUUGGUAAAAUACAUAUUCAUAACUAAAAGUGUUUUGAUAUAGCAGGAUGUAUAUAGAUGUAUAUAUGUAUGUAUCCUGCAAUACUAUGGUUAGGGUAGACAUCUAUCAUUUGCAAUUUACACAUUAUGUUUUUAUGUAUCUAUACAUAAAUGUAUGUAUCUUACUAGUAUGUAUUUAUCUUUCACAUGCCUGGUGCGAUCUUUGCCCAAUACACAGAACUUGAAAAACUAAAGAAAAACAUAACUUCCUGAUCAAAGGCAGGCUUGUAAAUAAAAAAAAAUCCUUGCAAGAUCCUCAAACAUUGGAUAUUACGAAACAGUUAUUGAAACGUUCAUUUACAUAAUACAAAACAGAUUUCCUAUGUUCACAGGGGCUCUGGUUUUCGAACUCCCCACGUUCAUUUCUACA